rnacentral:rRNA from 1 species
UUGAGUGCAGAAGAGGAGAGUGGAAUUCCACGUGUAGCGGUGAAAUGCGUAGAGAGUGGAGGAACACCAGUGGCGAGCGACUCUCUGGUCUGUACUGACGCUGAGGAGCGAAAGCGUGGGGAGCGAACAGGAUUAGAUACCCUGGUAGUCCACGCCGUAAACGAUGAGUGCUAAGUGUUAGGGGUUUCCGCCCCUUAGUGCUGCAGCUAACGCAUUAAGCACUCCGCCUGGGGAGUACGGUCGCAAGACUGAAACUCAAAGGAAUUGACGGGGGCCCGCACAAGCGGUGGAGCAUGUGGUUUAAUUCGAGCAACGCGAAGAACCUUACCAGGUCUUGACAUCCUCUGACAACCCUAGAGAUAGGGCUUUCCCUUCGGGGACAGAGUGACAGGUGGUGCAUGGUUGUCGUCAGCUCGUGUCGUGAGAUGUUGGGUUAGUCCCGCAACGAGCGCAACCCUUGAUCUUAGUUGCCAGCAUUCAGUUGGGCACUCUAAGGUGACUGCCGGUGACAAACCGGAGGAAGGUGGGGAUGACGUCAAAUCAUCAUGCCCCUUAUGACCUGGCUACACACGUGCUACAAUGGACAGAACAAAGGGCUGCAAGACCGCAAGGUUUAGCCAAUCCCAUAAAUCUGUUCUCAGUUCGGAUCGCAGUCUGCAACUCGACUGCGUGAAGCUGGAAUCGCUAGUA